UGCUACAAUGGGUAGUACAGAGGGUUGCCAAGCCGUAAGGUGGAGCUAAUCCCUUAAAGCUACUCUCAGUUCGGAUUGUAGGCUGAAACUCGCCUACAUGAAGCUGGAGUUACUAGUAAUCGCAGAUCAGAAUGCUGCGGUGAAUGCGUUCCCGGGUCUUGUACACACCGCCCGUCACACCACGGGAGUGGAAGACGCCCGAAGCCGAUUAGCUAACCGUUGGGGAGAAGUCGUCGAAGGUGUAAUCAAUAAUUGGGGUGAAGUCGGUACAAGGGAGCCGUAGCGGUAGGGGCGGCUGGAUCACCUUCUUGCUAAGGAGA
rnacentral:rRNA from 1 species